CUUUGCGAAGAAGACUGGAGAAAAAGCAAGAGAAGACUUCAACAAGGGCAGCCUGAGAAAUACACUAACUGGUUAUACACUAGAGAGUACAAAAGUUGCCUACACUGGGUGUGUGAGUGUGAUAGGCAAGCAGCCUUGUGCUUCAAAACGCCGCUUGCAAACGACAAAUACUAUGGAUAUUAUACGAAGAGUAACUGCAAGGACAAUGGCAAGUGAUUGUCCCUCUAUGGAAUCCUUUUGCAAAAUUUAUUUGCUUCUGUGUACGUGUAUGUAUGAAUGGGGGCUAGAAUCUCACAUUGCUUAUAGUUUAGUUUAAUCACACAAAUGUAUGCAGUUGAAUAUUUCCAAUUACUUGAUCUUGUAUAAGACGUAGGGAUCAGCUCUGUAAGUCCUCACUAACCCCACCAAUAUUUUCCCCAAUUGUAAAACCUUGGUGGGAAUAGAACUGUAAGAAUAUAGAAUCACACAUUGCUUAUAGUUUAGUUCAAUCACGCAACGGACGCUGGAAUCAGCACUGGAAGUCCGACUUUUUAAGUCCUGGUGGGAAUAGAAUCUAGAAUCCAGAUCACUUUGUUUAUAGUUUAGUCCAAUUACAUAAUGUAUGCAGUGUUUUUUAUUAACCAGUAAAAAGGAAAGAGAAUGUCGUUCCAAUGUCUCUCAGGCCUUUCUAACCAGAAAAGCGGGAAGACUACGCCCUAGUUUUAACGGCAAAUGCAUGUAAUAAAACAAUUCGAUUGUUCUAUGUUCAUUUGCAUUUGGAACGGUACAUGAAAAGGCCUAAGAGAACAGAGUAAAGGGUAAUACGCGUCUUUUGGGUUAUUGAAAACCACUGUAAUUAUGUUGAGAAUUGAUUAAUUGCAUGUUAGAAUAGUCGCACUUUAACGAUUGAUUAAAAUUUGAUGCUCAGUAACAAUGA